CGAUUGACUUGCAAAGUUGUUCGGAAAUGACGGAGAUGAUCAAACGCAAGAUCGUCAAUACGGAGGCAUUUCCUCAUUUCCGAUCUAUUCUUCAACAUUUUCUUCGUUUUCCAAGUAUGUUGUCUAUUUCAUGUGGAUCUUUUCGUAGUGGUGUAGCGUAUGUUAAGUUUUGUUGACUUCAAGUGCCCCAUUUUUUCUCCGCUACACCACUGACCUUUUGUUGAAUAUUUUAACAAGAAGACAGGUGAUAAUUUGUUAUAUCUAUCUGCCUUUGAUGGUUUAGUAAGUGAAACGAGCCUUUUUGAAUUUUAAAGUUUACCUUAAACACUAUAAACUAUAUAUUUAGACGAAAAUAGGGAAGCAAGAAAAAUUUGGUCUCUGGUGGAUGGAGUAAUCCAAAAAAUGACAUUUAAAAGCGAAGAUGGCGAAGAUGUGGAAGAAUUGCGAAAGAGGCUAGCUAAGCUUUACAUAACAAUUGACUAGCAACACAAGAAAAGG